rnacentral:lncRNA from 1 species
UAGCUUACCCAAGAGUCUACUGUGUAGCCAAGAAGGUGAACCUGAGGAGUGAAGAUUUCAAGAAACACCAAGGACAUCUCUACCAUUGAGGAGAUUAUCAGCUCUGUCCAGAGACUCAAAGAAAUGAAAAGAGUGACCACCGAUAUAUGAAGAAGGAACUUUGAGCUGAUUUAUUAAGAGUGCCUUUGGUACAGAUGCCUUACCUCUCUUCUGAUCCCAGGUAAAAUAUGAUAUGUAAGUACUGACACAUUUUUAAUGUGUGACCACUGUUCUCUAUACGUUUAGGGCUAACUGUUGGGUGAUUAGAGAAAACUAACAGAGUAUUUCAUAUUCUUAUACAACAUAAAAACUAAACUGUAAUUCAAGGAGUA